rnacentral:rRNA from 1 species
GGCGAACGCUGGCAGCGUACCUAACACAUGCAAGUCGAACGGGGAUCACAGGGUUAGCAAUAACUCCGCGGUUCUAGUGGCGCACGGGUGAGUAACACGUGGGUAACCUGCCCUUGAGACUGGGAUACCCCCUCGAAAGGGGGGCUAAUACCGGAUACGUUCCUCGGAUCGAAAGGUUUGAGGAGGAAAGGUGGCGAAAGCUGCCGCUCUUGGAGGGGCUCGCGGCCUAUCAGCUAGUUGGCGGGGUAACGGCCCACCAAGGCUAUGACGGGUAGCUGGUCUGAGAGGACGACCAGCCACACUGGAACUGAGACACGGUCCAGACACCUACGGGUGGCAGCAGUCGAGAAUUUUUCACAAUGGGCGAAAGCCUGAUGGAGCGACGCCGC